rnacentral:rRNA from 1 species
CCUACCCAUGCAGUCGAGCGCCAACAAGGGGCGGGGCUGACGGGAGAGUAACAUCCGGGAACGGAGGAUAUGGUUCGGAACAACCCAGGGAAACUUGGGCUAAUACCGGAUUUGCCCUUACGGGGAAAGAAUCAUCGCCGAAGGAUCGGCCCGCGUCUGAUUAGCUAGUUGGUGGGGUAACGGCCCACCAAGGCGACGAUCAGUAGCUGGUCUGAGAGGAUGAUCAGCCUCACUGGGACUGAGACACGGCCCAGACUCCUACGGGAGGCAGCAGUGGG